UAGUGAUUUCUUUGAGAAUUCUGGUUAAAUGUGUCACCAAGCAAGUAAUUAGUAAAUAUUCAAGGUUUGCUUUCAUUUCUUUUGGGAUAAAACACACAUUUCUUAUCAAAUCAUGUAUUUUUGGUAAAGAAAUUGACCGCACACAAGUGCUACACCUACUGUGACACGGGGCCUCAGUUUAUACGGUCUCAUCCGAAGGACCGCCCCAUUUAGUCGCCUUUUACGACAAACAAGGGGGUACUGAGGACCUAUUCUAACAUGGAUAUCCACGGGGGAAGAAUUGGAUAGCUGGGUCUUCACUGUCAAUUAAAUCACCAUUAUUGCCUCAUAUGUGGGAUGCAUGAUUAUAAAGAUUCUCAUUUAACAAAAUAUUUUUUCACAUAUUUAUGAGAUGUUAUAAAGAUGGCUACACUUAUGAUUUUCGGCUUUAUGGAUUAGUAGAGUUUUCUUUAUGGGAGAUCACAAUUAUUAGAAAAAAAGUUGUUGUCAAAUACUUGUGCAGACUGUAGACUUUUCAAAUUAAUGGUCACCAUGUGUUCCUUGACAGAUUAUUCAAAUUCAUUUCCCUGGUUAGGACUGGGCUUUACAAUGGGAUUUUCAGCUGUGGAGCUAUUAAGAAUUACUACAUAGGGUUUCCAAUGUAGUUUUGUGAACAUAAUUCAGAAAUAAGAAGAGGGAGACAAUGCAGCAUAAGCAUUACCAAUUACUUGCCACUGCUGAGAAAAUGGUACAUGCUUUGAGUACUACUUGUGUGUAUUUGGAGACAGUCCAGUUCUUCUUUAAACCAGGAGUGGAAAUUUCAGUGCUUGUUCAAUUUCUCCAGAAGUUACAUGUAUUGGAUGCUAGAAUAGUUAGGAUACACCUUAUAGAUUUUGAAAGCUUGAGACCUCAAGAUCAACCCAAAUGGUGUACCAAACAUGAAGAAAAAAAGACAGUUUAUGAUUGAAGAAGUGUAGUAGCAAAAAUUUCAGGGUAUUUCAUAUAUGUUAACUUAUAAGAUUUUAUUGGUACAUGUACAUUGUUACAUUGUUAACAUCUUGAUAUUUAAUAUGUAUCAGGUUUCACUUGCAGGAAUACACAAAAAUUCAGAGUAAAUUUUAAGUGUUGGUUAUUUUAGAUAAGAUCAAAGUCCAAGGUCAACAACAAGGUCCAACAGUGCUUUAGUUUUACCAAAUAUAACACUAUUAUAAAGACUAAUUUCCUGUAUAGCAAAUAAUUCAGAAUAUGAUUUGGGAAACUGUGAUUUUUUCUUUUAAAUCUUAUCUUAAUUUAUAACCAUGAUGCAUACUUAAGCAAGUAGAUUUUUUUCAAGCAUACAAAAUUUCAAGGUCAUUUUAAUUUUGGAAGUGAAUAUAAGAUAUCAGGAAGCAGUCAAGCAUUGUAAUUUUUUUGUUGUUGAAUGUACUUAGUUAUUGAGUAAUAAUCAAAUUU